rnacentral:rRNA from 1 species
CAGGUGUUGCAUGGCUGUUGUCAGCUCGUGUCGCGAGAUGUUGGGUUAAGUCCCGCAACGAGCGUAACCCUCAUCCUUAGUUACCAUCAGGUAAUGCUGGGGACUUUAAGGAAACUGCUAUUGAUAAACUGGAGGAAGGUGAGGAUGAUGUCAAGUCAUUAUGGCCCUUAUGGAGUGGGCUACACACGUGCUACAAUGGUGGCUACAAUGAGCUGCAAAGUCGCGAGACUAAGCUAAUCCCUUAAAAGCCAUCUCAGUUCGGAUUGUACUCUGCAACUCGAGUGCAUGAAGUUGG